CAGUCGCCACGGUAAUACAGAGGGUGCGAGCGUUAAUCGGAUUUACUGGGCGUAAAGCGUGCGUAGGCGGCUUCUUAAGUCGGAUGUGAAAUCCCUGAGCUUAACUUAGGAAUUGCAUUCGAUACUGGGAAGCUAGAGUAUGGGAGAGGAUGGUAGAAUUCCAGGUGUAGCGGUGAAAUGCGUAGAGAUCUGGAGGAAUACCGAUGGCGAAGGCAGCCAUCUGGCCUAAUACUGACGCUGUGGUACGAAAGCAUGGGGAGCAAACAGGAUUAGAUACCCCCGUAGUCCCUGUCUCUUAUAC
rnacentral:rRNA from 1 species